GACGAACGCUGGCGGCGUGCCUAACACAUGCAAGUCGAGCGGAGUCAGUAAGAGGAAGUUUUCGGAUGGAAUCUUAUUGAUUUAGCGGCGGACGGGUGAGUAACGCGUGAGCGACCAACCUUGCACAGGGGGAUAACGGACCGAAAGGUUCACUAAUACCGCAUGAGACCACGGUGUUGCAUGACACAGGGGACAAAGGAGCAAUCCGGUGCAAGACGGGCUCGCGUCCGAUUAGGUAGUUGGAGGGGUAACGGCCCACCAAGCCUAUGAUCGGUAGCCGACCUGAGAGGGUGAUCGGCCAUAUUGAAACUGGGAUACGGUCCAAACUCCUACGGGAGGCAGCAGUGGGGAAUAUUGGGCAAUGGGGGAAACCCUGACCCAGCAACGCCGCGUGAAGGAAGAAGGUUUUCGGAUUGUAAACUUCUGUCCUUGGUGAAGAGAAGAAGACGGUAGCCAAGGAGGAAGCCCCGGCUAACUACGUGCCAGCCGCCGCAGUAA
rnacentral:rRNA from 1 species